rnacentral:rRNA from 1 species
CUACGGGUUGCUCCAGUGAGGAAUAUUGGUCAAUGGGCGCAAGCCUGAACCAGCCAUGCCGCGUGAAGGAUGAAGGCCUUAUGGGUUGUAAACUUCUUUUAUACGGGAAUAAACUUAGCUAUGUAUAGCUAACUGCAGGUACCGUAAGAAUAAGCACCGGCUAACUCCGUGCCAGCAGCCGCGGUAAUACGGAGGGUGCAAGCGUUAUCCGGAUUUAUUGGGUUUAAAGGGUCCGCAGGCGGACUAAUAAGUCAGUGGUGAAAUCUCUCGGCUCAACCGAGAAACUGCCAUUGACACUGUUAGUCUAGAGUGUAGUUGGCGUAGGCGGAAUGUAUCAUGUAGCGGUGAAAUGCUUAGAUAUGAUACAGAACACCGAUCGCGAAGGCAGCUUACGAAACUACAACUGACGCUCAGGGACGAAAGCGUGGGAAGCGAACAGGAUUAGAUACCCUCGUAGUC